UAACCUAAGAGUUUGAUCCUGGCUCAGAACGAACGCUGGCGGCAUGCCUAACACAUGCAAGUCGAACGCUAUCUUUGAUAGAGUGGCGCACGGGUGAGUAACGCGUGGGAACCUGCCUUU
rnacentral:rRNA from 1 species